UCUUGACUAGUAUAUCGGUUUAGUACAGCCGCUUGUCAUCUUGGAUUACGUCAUUACUUCCGCGGCAGAGCUGGGUUCGACUCCCAGGUCGAGAG